UACGUAGGGGGCUAGCGUUGUCCGGAUUUACUGGGCGUAAAGAGCGCGCGGGCGGUCGCUCAAGUCGCGUGUGAAAGCCCCCGGCUCAACUGGGGAGGGUCACGCGAUACUGAUCGACUGGAAGGCAGGAGAGGGUAGUGGAAUUCCUGGUGUAGCGGUGAAAUGCGCAGAUAUCAGGAGGAACACCGGUGGCGAAGGCGGAUCUCUGGGCCUUACCUGACGCUCAGGCACGAAAGCUAGGGGAGCGAACAGG
rnacentral:rRNA from 1 species